CCCUCGUUAAAGCCCUCAUCCCUCGCUGAAGCCCUCGUCAAAUCCCUUACUAAAGCUGAACGCCAGCGAUUCUCCAUGCCAUAGCGCCAAAGCGUCCUCACGAUUCUCCUUGUUGAAGCCCUCCUCGUCGGGUCUUCGCUCUCUCGGUACGACGACUACGGGCGCAUCUCUGCUCUCUCAAAGACGUUGAAGACCUCCUCGCCAUGCCUUUCAUUCCUCAUUGCGAUGACUACUGGCCCUCUCUGGCUCUCUCAAAGGUCUUCAUGAUGUUCUCUUCGUUCUUCUAGGUUUGUUGAUGUUAAAAAUAAGGGUUAUGGAGGUAAGCUGAUUAGACUGUAAUUUUUUAUUAUUUCCCAUAUUAGUGUCAGGAGUGUUACAUUACUUUGUUUAUCUCUUUGUAUUUUUGAGUUAAAUUUUUCUUCACUAUCAGUGUUAUUUUGCUAAAAAUUUAAAUGAUUACUCUUUAUAAGUA